CCUCUUCCUCCUACUCUAGAAAUCUAGACGCACCCUAGCGGCAGAAAAUGCAAUUUGCAGCCAGGGUUAGUCUAGCAACUCUCUGUUGGCUUGCGAGCUGGAAAAAAAACAA